AACGCACCUUGCGCUCCUUGGUAUUCCGAGGAGCAUGCCUGUUUGAGUGUCAUGGAAUUCUCAACCCACACAUCCUUGUGAUGUGGACGGGCUUGGACUUUGGAGGCUCAUGCCGGUCCCCAUUCGGGUCGGCUCCUCUGGAAUGCAUUAGCUCCAUCCCUUGCGGAUCGGCUCUCGGUGUGAUAAUUGUCUACGCCGUGGUCGUUGAAGCCUCAGUCGGGCGAGCUUAUAAUCGUCCCCUCCGGGACAAUCGAAUAUGACAUCUGACCUCAAAUCAGGUAGGACUACCCGCUGAACUUAA
rnacentral:misc_RNA from 1 species